GAUGAACGCUGGCGGCGUGCCUAAUACAUGCAAGUCGAGCGAACAGACAAGGAGCUUGCUCCUUUGACGUUAGCGGCGGACGGGUGAGUAACACGUGGGUAACCUACCUAUAAGACUGGGAUAACUUCGGGAAACCGGAGCUAAUACCGGAUAAUAUUUCGAACCGCAUGGUUCGAUAGUGAAAAGAUGGUUUUGCUAUCACUUAUAGAUGGACCCGCGCCGUAUUAGCUAGUUGGUAAGGUAACGGCUUACCAAGGCGACGAUACGUAGCCGACCUGAGAGGGUGAUCGGCCACACUGGAACUGAGACACGGUCCAGACUCCUACGGGAGGCAGCAGUAGGGAAUCUUCCGCAAUGGGCGAAAGCCUGACGGAGCAACGCCGCGUGAGUGAUGAAGGUCUUCGGAUCGUAAAAACUCUGUUAUUAGGGAAGAACAUACGUGUAAGUAACUAUGCACGUCUUGACGGUACCUAAUCAGAAAGCCACGGCUAACUACGUG
rnacentral:rRNA from 1 species